UAAGACUUUAAUCAAACAGUUGGCAUACAAUAAAAAUCCAGAUGUGAAAAGAAAGUUUGAGGGAGAAGAAUAAUAACUUUACUCAUCACAUAAUCCUAAAAUUUCUCACUACUGCAGUAUUUGUACUGACUCAUUCCUUCACGCAGUCCCUCCACAUGUUGUGCGGUUUGCGUGGCCUUGCUCCUGUGCGUAUGUCCAAUAUUUUCGCGUUAUUGUUAGCCACUUCUUUUCCGUGCGUAUUUUGUGGGA
rnacentral:lncRNA from 1 species